rnacentral:rRNA from 1 species
UCUUUUUCCACCGGAGCCUUGCUCCACCGGAAAAAGANGAGUGGCGAACGGGUGAGUAACACGUGGGUAACCUGCCCAUCAGAAGGGGAUAACACUUGGAAACAGGUGCUAAUACCGUAUAACAAUCNAAACCGCAUGGUUUUGAUUUGAAAGGCGCUUUCGGGUGUCGCUGAUGGAUGGACCCGCGGUGCAUUAGCUAGUUGGUGAGGUAACGGCUCACCAAGGCCACGAUGCAUAGCCGACCUGAGAGGGUGAUCGGCCACAUUGGGACUGAGACACGGCCCAAACUCCUACGGGAGGCAGCAGUAGGGAAUCUUCGGCAAUGGACGAAAGUCUGACCGAGCAACGCCGCGUGAGUGAAGAAGGUUUUCGGAUCGUAAAACUCUGUUGUUAGAGAAGAACAAGGAUGAGAGUAACUGUUCAUCCCUUGACGGUAUCUAACCAGAAAGCCACGGCUAACUACGUGCCAGCAGCCGCGGUAAUACGUAGGUGGCAAGCGUUGUCCGGAUUUAUUGGGCGUAAAGCGAGCGCAGGCGGUUUCUUAAGUCUGAUGUGAAAGCCCCCGGCUCAACCGGGGAGGGUCAUUGGAAACUGGGAGACUUGAGUGCAGAAGAGGAGAGUGGAAUUCCAUGUGUAGCGGUGAAAUGCGUAGAUAUAUGGAGGAACACCAGUGGCGAAGGCGGCUCUCUGGUCUGUAACUGACGCUGAGGCUCGAAAGCGUGGGGAGCAAACAGGAUUAGAUACCCUGGUAGUCCACGCCGUAAACGAUGAGUGCUAAGUGUUGGAGGGUUUCCGCCCUUCAGUGCUGCAGCUAACGCAUUAAGCACUCCGCCUGGGG